rnacentral:rRNA from 1 species
AGUGAACGCUGGCGGUAGGCCUAACACAUGCAAGUCGAACGGCAGCACAGUAAGAGCUUGCUCUUACGGGUGGCGAGUGGCGGACGGGUGAGGAAUACAUCGGAAUCUACUUUUUCGUGGGGGAUAACGUAGGGAAACUUACGCUAAUACCGCAUACGACCUACGGGUGAAAGCAGGGGAUCUUCGGACCUUGCGCGAUUGAAUGAGCCGAUGUCGGAUUAGCUAGUUGGCGGGGUAAAGGCCCACCAAGGCGACGAUCCGUAGCUGGUCUGAGAGGAUGAUCAGCCACACUGGAACUGAGACACGGUCAAGACUCCUACGGGAGGCAGCAGUGGGGAAUAUGGGACAAUGGUGGGAAGCCUGAUCCAGCCAUACCGCGUGGGUGAAGAAGGCCUUCGGGGUGGAAAGCCCUUUUGUGGGGAAAGAAAAGCAGCAGGUUAAUACGCCGCUGGUCUGACGGUACCCAAAGAAUAAGCACCGGCUAACUUCGUG